AUGCGAAAAGAUGUGAGAAAAUGGAAAUUGAAACUCACCAGUCAGAGUUUGUCUGACGCGUCUUCUACGGUGGCGAUUAGAAGCGGAAAACUAGAGAUGUUAGCUUCUAGGGCAACAACUAUUAACUUAGUUAUUCGUUUUGGACAAGUUUAUGAAUGGUUAACUGGGGACAUGGCUAUACUCGUGAUGAUGAUGAAGCGUGAUGCAAAGAAGAAAGGUUACUUGGUAAAAAUAUUGAGGGCAUGGCUAAGGUAG